UACGUAGGGUGCAAGCGUUAAUCGGAAUUACUGGGCGUAAAGCGUGCGCAGGCGGUUAUGUAAGACAGAUGUGAAAUGCCCGGGCUUAACCUGGGAACUGCAUUUGUGACUGCAUGGCUAGAGUUUGGCAGAGGGGGGUAGAAUUCCACGUGUAGCGGUGAAAUGCGUAGAGAUGUGGAGGAACACCAGUGGCGAAGGCGGCUCACUGGCCCGAUACUGACGCUGAGGCACGAAAGCGUGGGGAGCAAACAGG
rnacentral:rRNA from 1 species